rnacentral:rRNA from 1 species
GCCGGCCGAGAUGAGUUCUCCCUGACUCCUUGAGAGUCCUGAAGGAACGUUGAAGACGACGACGUUGAUAGGCCGGGUGUGUAAGCGCAGCGAUGCGUUGAGCUAACCGGUACUAAUGAACCGUGAGGCUUAACCUUACAACGCCGAAG